rnacentral:rRNA from 1 species
AUUGAACGCUGGCGGCAGGCCUAACACAUGCCAGUCGAGCGGAUGAAGGGAGCUUGCUCCUGGAUUCAGCGGCGGACGGGUGAGUAAUGCCUAGGAAUCUGCCUGGUCGUGGGGGAUAACGUCCGGAAACGGGCGCUAAUACCGCAUACGUCCUGAGGGAGAAAGUGGGGGAUCUUCGGACCUCACGCUAUCAGAUGAGCCUAGGUCGGAUUAGCUAGUUGGUGGGGUAAAGGCCUAACAAGGCGACGAUCCGUAACUGGUCUGAGAGGAAGAUCAGUCACACUGGAACUGAGACACGGUCCAGACUCCUACGGGAGGCAGCAGUGGGGAAUAUUGGACAAUGGGCGAAAGCCUGAUCCAGCCAUGCCGCGUGUGUGAAGAAGGUCUUCGGAUUGUAAAGCACUUUAAGUUGGGAGGAAGGGCAGUAAGUUAAUACCUUGCUGUUUUGACGUUACCAACAGAAUAAGCACCGGCUAACUUCGUG